GGGGGGGGGGGGGGGGGGGGGGGGGGGGGGGGGGGGGGGGGAAGGGGGGGGGGGCGUGCGCGUGUGACGUUGGGGGGGGCCGGGGGAGUGACACGUGGGUGACGUAGCUGUACGACUGGGAUGACGUGGGGAAAACGGAGCUACUACCGGCUGAUAUAUUUGACCGCAUUGGUCAAUGGGUGAAUAGCGGUGUGCUGUCACUUAUCAGGGGCUCCUCGGCACAUUAGCUAGUUGUUAAGGUAACGGGUUACUAAGGCAACGAUCCGUAGUCGACCUGAGAGGGUGAUCGGCCACACUGGAACUGAGACACGGUCCAGACUCCUACGGGAGGCAGCAGUAGGGAAUCUUCCGCAAUGGGCGAAAGCCUGACGGAGCAACGCCGCGUGAGUGAUGAAGGUCUUCGGAUCGUAAAACUCUGUUAUUAGGGAAGAACAAAUGUGUAAGUAACUAUGCACGUCUUGACGGUACCUAAUCAGAAAGACACGGCUAACUACGUG
rnacentral:rRNA from 1 species